rnacentral:rRNA from 1 species
UACGUAGGGGACGAGCGUUGUCCGGAAUGAUUGGGCGUAAAGCGUCCGCAGGUGGCUAUGUAAGUCUGCUGUUAAAGAGUGAGGCUCAACCUCAUAAGAGCAGUGGAAACUACAUGGCUAGAGUGCGUUCGGGGCAGAGGGAAUUCCUGGUGUAGCGGUGAAAUGCGUAGAUAUCAGGAAGAACACCGGUGGCGAAAGCGCUCUGCUAGGCCGCAACUGACACUGAGGGACGAAAGCUAGGGGAGCGAAUGGG